rnacentral:rRNA from 1 species
GACGAACGCUGGCGGCGUGCUUAACACAUGCAAGUCGAGCGGAAAGGCCCUGCUUUUGUGGGGUGCUCGAGUGGCGAACGGGUGAGUAACACGUGAGUAACCUGCCCUUGACUUUGGGAUAACUUCAGGAAACUGGGGCUAAUACCGGAUAGGAGCUCCUGCUGCAUGGUGGGGGUUGGAAAGUUUCGGCGGUUGGGGAUGGACUCGCGGCUUAUCAGCUUGUUGGUGGGGUAGUGGCUUACCAAGGCUUUGACGGGUAGCCGGCCUGAGAGGGUGACCGGCCACAUUGGGACUGAGAUACGGCCCAGACUCCUACGGGAGGCAGCAGUGGGGAAUAUUGCACAAUGGGCGGAAGCCUGAUGCAGCAACGCCGCGUGCGGGAUGACGGCCUUCGGGUGGUAAACCGCUUUCGCCUGUGACGAAGCGUGAGUGACGGUAAUGGGUAAAGAAGCACCGGCUAACUACGU